rnacentral:lncRNA from 1 species
AUGGCUUUUGCAGCAAGAGUGUAGCACAGAUUCCUGACAUUCACCUUCUUGGGCCAGAAGCCAGGGCUGCAUCUCUGAGGCCAACUGCAGUACCCAGAGAAGAUCAAGCACAUUCUGCCCUGGCUUCAGGAGGACUCACUAACACCCUGUGCAUGUUCAGCAUGCAGUGCCUUGAACAGAAGAGUUUUCUUUGCUGGCAACCAAACAUGUAUCCUGCAGAGGUGUUUGGAGGAGUUACUGUGGUACUAUGUUAUAUAUACGAUUUAUCCACAGAUGCUAAGUAAUUGCCUCCAAGGGAGUAAAAAUCUGGAAUGCCAAUGGAUCUCAAAAUCUUUUUGGGCAGUCUCGGGUUCCCCACCAGGAGAUGCAUAUUUGGAACCAGCUUAUGUAAGACAUCAGUGGAGACAUUGGAGACAGAAUGCAGAGAGAUUAAUCCUGAUUAUUCAGGUUAAGGAGUAGACCAACUGCCAAAAGUUAUUGACACAAUGAAAACCAACCACAAUGACAAAAGAAUCAUCAAGUGUGCUUAGAAGUCAAAAAAAUCUCCCUUUGAUCGUUCUGGUGUCAUGUCAGUUGCCAGUUUGAUGGUGGGUAGUGAACUUUACCAGGGGUCAGGAAACGUGGGGCCCUGGUGCUUUUUAGCAUCACAUGAUCCCACACAUCAUAGACCUGAAGCCAAGUGACUCUACAUAUUUUGGAAGAUGCUCAUAUAUACCUAAAUCUCAUUGAGCCACUGAAAAUUAAUUAGACAUUUCUACAAGUUCAGAACAUUAAAAAAGUUAAGAUAAUUAGUGAUGUUAAAGCUGAAGAUAUUCAGAUUAAAGGUCAUGGCAUUCAUCUAACUAUUAAAAUUAGAAAUGUUUGUCUGA